rnacentral:rRNA from 1 species
UACGUAGGGGGCAAGCGUUGUCCGGAUUUACUGGGUGUAAAGGGUGCUCAGGUGGCUUGGAAAGUCAGUGGUGAAAUCUGAGAGCUUAACUCUCAAACUGCCAUUGAUACUUCUUAGCUUGAGUACGGAAGAGGCUGAUGGAAUUUCAGGUGUAGCAGUGAAAUGCGUAGAUAUCUGAAAGAACACCAGUGGCGAAGGCGGUCAGCUGGUCCGUUACUGGCACUAAAGCACGAAAGCGUGGGGAGCAAACAGG